rnacentral:sRNA from 1 species
GUUUAGUCUGGCUUAGGGAUAGCAGUGGAAAUACUUUUUUGGGAAGCAAAAAAGAUUGCAACGAAUAGCCUGGCACCGC